AGCGCGCGCGCCGGUGCGGGUGCGUGCGUGAGCGUGCGUGAGCGUGCGCGCCCCCGCCGCCUCUGCCGGUGCUGCUCCCGCGCCCUCUGCCGCUGCCCCCGCUGCCGUCCCCGCCGCCGCCGCCCCGGGUCCCCGAGGCGCAGACCCGGCUGAGGAGCGCGUGGGCCGCCGCCCAGCAGCGCCGCGGAGCGGAGGAGCGGAGCCGCGGAGACGGGGGCCGCGGACGGCGGGCGGGCGCGCGGACAGAUUAGCCUACCAUGGCAGAUCAGAGACAGCGCUCACUCUCUACCUCUGGAGAAUCACUGUACCAUGUUCUCGGGCUGGACAAGAAUGCAACCUCGGAUGACAUUAAAAAGUCCUAUCGGAAACUUGCCUUGAAAUACCACCCUGAUAAGAACCCCGAUAACCCGGAGGCCGCAGACAAGUUUAAGGAGAUCAACAACGCCCACGCCAUCCUGACGGACGCCACAAAAAGGAACAUCUACGACAAGUACGGCUCGCUCGGGCUCUACGUGGCCGAGCAGUUCGGAGAGGAGAACGUGAACACCUACUUCGUGCUUUCCAGUUGGUGGGCCAAGGCCCUCUUUGUCUUCUGUGGCCUCCUCACGUGCUGCUACUGCUGCUGCUGCCUGUGCUGCUGCUUCAACUGCUGCUGCGGCAAGUGCAAGCCCAAGGCGCCCGAGGGCGAGGAGACCGAGUUCUACGUGUCCCCUGAGGACCUGGAGGCGCAGCUGCAGUCUGAUGAGAGGGGAGGGCACUGACACUGUGCCGGGAGUGUUUGUGGUGGCAGCUGGGACUGUUGAGGUGUGAACGUGGACACUUGAGAGGCCACGGACACGCCGAUUGUCAUCCAGCCAGCAUCUGCCACAGAGACCACUCAGCUCACGGCCGACUCCCACCCCAGCUACCACACCGAUGGGUUCAAUUAAGUUCAGAAGAAGCUACGAUUAGAGGAUAAAUCAGCACCCGGCCGCUUCCACCUUAGAAUCAUGAACUGUGUCACAGAGAUGAGGGGAGCCGCUCUGGCCAGGAGGAAGGGCAGCUGCCGACCUGCCACGGCCGCGCUGAGGCCCCUCCCGCCUCUGUGCCCGCCCAUCCGUCGAUCCCUGAUCCAUGAAGUGCGUAGCAUGCAGUAUUUAAAGCAGUUUAGCUACGGUCUUCUUCUGUUUUUCCUUUUUUAAUAGCAUGUCUGGGGUUCUGUUCCGUGUCUGUGUUGUGGAUGUGUGCUGCGUGACCGCAUCAGCCGGACGGUGGGGCCCCUCGGGCUCUCGGUCAGGUGGCGCAGGGGAUGGGCCACAGCUGCGUGCUGCCUCCUGGCCAGGCCGGAGGGGCUCCCCCGUUCCCCUGCGCUUGUGGGCACAGAGGCGGGUGCUGCCUGGUGGGAGCUGCGGAGCCUGGUCCCGCUCUGUCUUGCCUGCUGUGUGGCCGCAGGCAGGGCCUCCGGACUCCCCUGCUGGGAAGGAGCAGGCACAUCCUCCCAGUGCCAGUGCCACUGGCAUUUCCGUGGUGUUCGUGUCGAGGACAGUUUGCAGGGUCUGGCCCUGCUUGCUGCGCCUUGUGGCAGGGUUUCUCCUGCGGGCGAGUUUGUUGUGGGAAAUGCAGGAGCGCCCUGGUCCCGAGACCACAUUCUAUGCCUGUGUCCAGCCUGGGUCUCCGUGUUGCACAGACCUGAGCCUCCUGUCCUUCUAGUGUGUUCCCUUGCCAGGGGUGGGGUUGGGUUUCCUCUGUCCCGCACCCCCCAGGCCACAGGCUGGGCUGCCAGGCCACAUUCCAGCAGUCCCCUCCCCUCCCUGCCUCCUCCUCCACAUUCCUUCAGGCCCCCCUGGCCUCUUUAUAACCCUUUUUGGAUCUCUAAGAACCACACAUGGCAGCAGCGGCCCAGUUAGCGUAGCCAGAGGGGCUGAGAGUCCAGGUCACUGGUGGCACGUGGCAGCACAGCCCGAAGCACGCAUAGUGAGCGCAGCCCUCCUCUCUCUGCUGCCCAGAGCCCCACCCACCCGCCUCCCUUCACCUGCCCCCUUUGGCCAGCCAUCGAUGGUUCAGGCAGAGCUGGAGGUGUCGGGUUCCUGGAAGAAGGGCCAUGUUGACCGAAGGCACACUGUGGCCUUGGAGGGUCAGUCCCAGGGAACCCUGUGCCCUUUGGCUUGUUAGCCAGCAGCGAGAAUGCUCCCUCACCUCUGUCUCAAGCCGCAUCUUUUGUGAAUUGUGGGAAGUCAGUCUUUCUUGUCUGUGUCCCAGACCUUGUGGGUGGUGCCCCCGCUGAGAGGGACUGAGGAAACGUGGGUUAUGCUGUGCCCCUGCUGGACCUGCGACAGGAGAGCCAUGUGGCUCAGAUGGGCCUGGUUUCUGCAGAGCAACCCUGACGGCUGUUGCUGGGAGUCUCCUGAACUUCCAGGAGGGAUGAAGAACGAGGAGGAGAAGGCUGCGUGAGUGGCCCUUCUCUGGCUCAGACAGACCAGAACAUAUUCCCAAAGCCCACUGUUUUCCCCAACCGUCUGCUGACACACGGCCCCAGCUCCCCCGCCGCCCUUGCCUGCCCCCGAGGGCCGUGCAGAGAGUAGGUUCGUGUUGGCUAGGAAGUGUCUGGAAGGAACAGCAGUAUCAGGCAGAGUGUGCGUCUCUUGGAAAGCUGUGCUGAUAUGAAGGCCCCUGGCCGGCUCUGGCAGAGCCACUUCAGUGCCAGGGCCCCCAGCCGACCUCUCGUGCAGGCCAGCACCAGGUCCUUGGGCAGUUUUUUGGUCCCCUUUUGCUUUGUUUUUUUCUCAUUAAAAUGAUCAUGCAGAUAUUUGGUGAGAUGGAAGAUACACACUAUGAUAUUAAAUCAGAAAUAACUUGCUAAAAUCAGAUCUCUCAUAAAAGGAUAAGAAAUUCGUCGUUUGACUCAGCGUGGAACAAGGGAGGAGGCAAGACAAUGGGUGAUCUGUGCCAGUCCCAGACAGCAGCAAGGGUUCAGCCUGAGAGGCAGGCCACAGUCACCUUUGUGAUGUCUCUGGAAAGAGGAAGUGAGUAGUUUCUCCCCAGAAUGGCCAAGAACCAAGUUCAAAGCUUAGACUUAAGGUAGAAAGCCCCCCCUUCUGCGGUGGCUGUGGUGUCACAGGGGCCUGGCCUCAGCCCAGCCAGGCCCCUCUGUGGGGUCUUCAGGGGACCCCUGCAGCUCUGGGCUCGCCACGGGUGUCAAAGUGAGUGUCAGUUACAGAAUCUUAUGGAUCACUUCCUAGAAACACGAAGCUCCCCUGGAGACCGGGGGUGGCCUGGAAAAGAGGCAGGUCUGGAAGUCGUUGGACCCAGUCUCUUGUAGAAUUUGUAAAAACUAAGUAAGUCCUGACAGUGAUGGUAAUCCUCAAGGUGAUAGUGAAGAGUGCACCAGGCUGGGCGCUCAGGAGCCAGAUGUGACCUCAGGCUUCCCCCUGACCCAAAGGCUUCUCCCCUUUGUGAUUCAGAGGUAGAGCCCCUUCCAGGGCUUUACUGCCCGCCCUUCCAGGCCCCUGUCUUGAUGCAGGACAGGGAUGCCCUGGACACAUUUCCCUUUUUCUUGGUGGUCUGUCUGUUUCCCUGGUGAGCAGAGGGGUUGAGUCUGGAGGGACACCCCCGUUUGUGUGCUAAGUUGGGGACGACCCUCUGCCUCCUGUAGCAGUGACAGGAGCACCUCGGCCCUCACUCUAGGGUUGCCCAGGCCCGGGGUCAUGUGUGGCCAGUGCUGGUGUCAUUUAAUGUGAGUGGCCAGAGAAGUGCUGGGGUCAGUGCACACCGGAGCCUAUCCCAUUUCACAAAGGGCAGUGCUUGCCCCACAGGCACCCAGAGCAGUGUCUGGCGGCAAGCAGGAAGCGUGAGAGAGGAAUGCCAGGCAUCUGAUGGGAGCACUGGUGUGUAGAUUUCUGUUUCUGGGUGACGUGGUCUUCUCUCGUCUUCCUUUGGCUUUAUUAUGUUUUCAGACUGCUUUAGGUCUUACCGCUCAGCGUGUGAGCCUUCCUAGUUCUCUGUCAGUCACUGCAGCCAGCACCUGCUAGAACCUGUUAGAGUAAGAAGCCAGGUGCGUGCUAUGGUUGGAGCAGGUGGCGUCUCCACUCUGUGGGCCUCUGGGCUUGGCCACAAGGCUCCUGCUCAGGGAAAGGCCCUGCUAGGAUCAUUCCUGCAUGUCCUAACUGCGGGUUGUUCCAGGUGAGCUCAUGCUGGAGGAACACCCACUGGGGCAGCUGGUGGUCUGGGGGGCCAAGGGGCCUCCCUGGCACCUGGCACCUGGCAUGAGAGCAAUGAGCAGGAUGGCGCCGCACACGGGCUCUUGCUGCGGGGCCGGGCGAUGCGUGGGCAGAACUUGGGGUCCCAUCCAUCCUUGCCUGGCUCUCAGCACAUCCUCCCAGGGGAUGGGUUGUGAGGGAUAUGAAAAAAGUGACUGAAUCUCAUUCCUUUCUCUGUAUGCUGAGCUAUGGGACGCAGGACUUGCCUGUUUUUGUUAUUUUGGUUGUGAAUCAUCCUCCUGUGGAAUUGGCAAACGCUACAUUUUUACUGUCCUUACAAGCACGAUUGGCUCGUCUGUGCUGUCGGUGUGGGCAGUGGGUGUAUCUCCGUGUGUGUACAUAUGUGUAUAUGUAUAUAUCACGCAGCGGGCGUUUCUGCUGUGUCCAGCGGCGAAGCAACAAGUACAAUAAAAAUUGGCUCCAAAAUGGC